GGCCGAGGCUCGUAAACCGAUUUUGUUUCUUUUUCCUUUUUCUUCUUCUCCCUUUGCUAAACAGGCCACGGGUUUGGACUGGAGGAAAUGGGCCGGGGGGAGUUCGUUGGCUCGGCCCACGCGGCUCGCAGGGCCCGCCAGGCACGAGGCCAGGGGCUUGCUAGGGUUUCCCGAUGGGAGGGAGCAGGGUGGUGGCGGUGACGGUGGCG
rnacentral:lncRNA from 1 species